GCCCCGGUGGCACAUCGGUCUAAGUGCGUGCACCAUAAAGGCUGUGGCCUUUCCGCGGCGACCCGGUUCAAUUCCGGCUCGGGUCA